ensembl:snRNA U6 U6 spliceosomal RNA
AUGCUCACUUUGGCAUCACAUCUACUAAAUUUCAAUGAUAGAGAGAAGAUUAACAGGGCUCCUGGGUAAAAUUGGCAUGCAAACUCAAAAUGGAUUCCAUAUUUGU